CACAAGAUAGGCUAUAGUCUUAGGCUAGCCAAGUGACUUACCAGUGGAUCAUCUACAUCACAUGUGGAGUUUGCUCUCUACACCUUUACAUAUUUCUACUCGAGGAAGUCGCAUGUUCUGCUGUUCUAUGUACUUGGAUAUCUGGUGAGACCUGGGCUCCUUAGCAAGGGCUAUGAUGCCAUUGUCUUUGUGAUAUAGUGUCACGGUAUCUGAUGGUAUGACAACUAAUUCUGCAAUUAACAUUAUAACCAGAAUGCA
rnacentral:lncRNA from 1 species